AGUGAACGCUGGCGGUAGGCCUAACACAUGCAAGUCGAACGGCAGCACAGUAAGAGCUUGCUCUUACGGGUGGCGAGUGGCGGACGGGUGAGGAAUACAUCGGAAUCUACUUUUUCGUGGGGGAUAACGUAGGGAAACUUACGCUAAUACCGCAUACGACCUACGGGUGAAAGCAGGGGAUCUUCGGACCUUGCGCGAUUGAUUGAGCCGAUGUCGGAUUAGCUAGUUGGCGGGGUAAAGGCCCACCAAGGCGACGAUCCGUAGCUGGUCUGAGAGGAUGAUCAGCCACACUGGAACUGAGGCACGGUCCAGACUCCUACGGGAGGCAGCAGUGGGGAAUAUUGGACAAUGGGCGCAAGCCUGAUCCAGCCAUACCGCGUGGGUGAAGAAGGCCUUCGGGUUGUAAAGCCCUUUUGUUGGGAAAGAAAAGCAGCAGGUUAAUACCCCGCUGUUCUGACGGUACCCAAAGAAUAAGCACCGGCUAACUUCGUG
rnacentral:rRNA from 1 species